CCUACGUGCGGCUGCAGUGAGGAAUAUUGGUCAAUGGCCGGAAGGCUGAACCAGCCAUGCCGCGUGAAGGUCAGUGCCCUAUGGGCGUUAAACUUCUUUUGUGCGGGAGCAAUAAUGGUCACGUGUGGCCAGACGAGAGUACCGUACGAAUAAGCAUCGGCUAACUCCGUGCCAGCAGCCGCGGUAAUACGUGGGAUGCAAGCGUUAUCCGGAUUUAUUGGGUUUAAAGGGUGCGUAGGCUGUGAGGUAAGUCAGCGGUGAAAUGCCCCCGCUCAACGGGGUGAAGGGCCAUUGAUACUGCCUUGCUGGAAUGCGGAUGCCGUGGGAGGAAUGUGUGGUGGAGCGGUGAAACGCAUAGAUAUCACACAGAACACCGAUUGCGAAGGCAUCUUACGAAUCCGCGAUUGACGCUGAUGCACGAAAGCGUGGGUAUCAAACAGGAUUAGAUACCCGUGUAGUC
rnacentral:rRNA from 1 species